ACUUGUUUCUUCAAAGAAACAGAGACAAUCAAGCCAUGAGCCAAGAACAGGAACUUCCUUCUCCUUCUCCUGCUUCUCAACCAGACCAACCUUAUCCUACGUUCGAUCCUAGUCGAAUGAUCGGCAUCAUCAAGAGAAAGGCCUUAAUAAAAGAGUUAGCAGCUGUCUACCAUGCAGAAUGCCUUGCAUACUGUCAAGAACUUCUGGAUCUUCAGAAGAAGUGGGAUGAGCCAUUUAUCCAUGUUAAAAGUCCUGGUGAUAUGAGGAAAGAGAAAAUGAGGCCUGCAAAACGACUAAAGAAAUCUCGCUAAGCAUAUGAUAAUGAUGAUGUGAUGACAUGGGGUUUCAUUACUUUGCUGCACCCCAAAUACGAAACAACUCUAUAGAUGCCAAAACAACAACAAUCGAUCAAGAUUUCUUGUUUCCACAAUGUUCUGUAUUGUAUGUAACAUAAGUACGUCUUAAUUUAUUAUUCGAGACAAUUACAUUUAUG